rnacentral:rRNA from 1 species
AAACUCAAAGGAAUUGACGGGGCCCGCACAAGCAGCGGAGCGUGUGGUUUAAUUCGAUGCAACGCGAAGAACCUUACCAAGGCUUGAAAUGACGGAAGUAGUGAACCGAAAGGGGAACGACCUGUUAAGUCAGGAGCCGCCACAGGGUGCUGCAUGGCUGUCGUCAGCUCGUGCUGUGAAGUGUUAGGUUAAGUCCUGUAACGAGCGCAACCCUCGUUGCCAGUUGUUUUCUCUGGCGAGACUGCCCCACGAAAUGGGGAGGAAGGUGGGGAUGACGUCAAGUCAGCAUGGCCCUUAUGUCCUGGGCUACACACACGCUACAAUGGGUGGUACAAUGGGUAGCAAUAGAGUGAUCUGGAGCCAAUCCACAAAACCAUCCUCAGUCCGGAUUGCAGGCUGAAACCCGCCUGCAUGAAGUUGGAGUUGCUAGUAACCGCAGGUCAGCACACUGCGGUGAAUACGUUCCCGGGCCUU